rnacentral:misc_RNA from 1 species
AAUAUGCAUGAAUUAUGUCAUUUGAUUUCAAAAUCUUCUGAGUUGUUUGCAACUGUUCCAGCACAAUUUCAUGAGAAUGUUCUUGAUCAUUUUUUAAAAUAUUAGAAAUCUUUAAAACAAAAAUGUGUGAUGAAGUCCACGGCAAUGAACUGUACUUAGGCUUGUUUGAAACUAAAUGCCUUAGGAUUUAUCUCAAGAACUCUGUCUAAAAUACCCUACUCUCACACCCAUACUUCAUUUGCAUCCACAUGUUAAAAAGCAUACCCGUGGUACCACCAAUAACCAAACGUAGUGAGCAUGAUUAAGUUGGAACCAAAUCUCUCAGUUAGCUCACUUGACAAAUUUGAUU